AAUCAGAACAAAAUGUCAUGUCAUAGUCUAUUGUAUUCAGUCAGGUUGUUGCAUUGAAUGUCAUAACAGAGCAUGCAUACAGAAAAAAAAAAGAGAAACCGAGAGAAACCGAUGUUACAGAUCAAUUGAUAUAUAGGCUAUUGAUGAUAAAUGGUCUAAUUAAUCUGUUUCUCCAUUGUACAAUUAGAUCUAACUCAAAUUAUUAUCUUCCCAAAACAUAAUUUAUUACAAAUAUUAUUGCUGGUGUCUGCAUUUCCUUGAUCUGCGCUCUGUGGCAAAAGUAGUAUCAGUACGCGCUUAAAGUGGCAGGGUUUUGGGUGCUCUCCUCCUCGGGAACGUAGAAGGGCACGGUUGUGCAUCUUCAGAUUACGAGCAUUCCACUUGUCUUUGCCUGCCUACCUGCCAAAGUGAACUACUCUUGCAGGAGUUCAAGACCUUGUGACCAAAGACGACGUUAUGGAUGCACGUCUAACUGCAAUUGCCAGUCUCGUUUUAGUCUUAUCCACCUCAGUAACAGGGUUCUGGUUCACACCAAGGGGUCCUCAGAUAUACUCCUGUCUCACCUAUACAGAGAAGAACCUUAGGGUGGACUGUGAAUUCCCAGCCACUGAUCAAAUUCCAGGGCCUUACUGUGAGUUCAAGCAGGAUGGAAAAAUCAUCGGAACAACAUAUCCCAAUACUCCCUCAUACCUCAUUCCCACUCUUGAAGUCAGACGGCGCUCCAAUGUCUCGCUGGUGUCCCCAACCAUAUGCCGCCUCACCUGGGCUCCCAUGGCAGAUGAAAGGUCCUACACUUACACUUGCAGGGUGUAUCAAGGAAGUAGUUGGAAGGAGAACAGCAUGGCGUUUCACCAAACUUUUCAGUGUACUAUCACAGAGGAAUAAAGAAACCAGAAAUACAUCAACACAAGUUACAAGUCAGAAGUGUUACUAAGGAGGAACGUCAUGGCAUUCCAUUCUUAACUGUGCUGUUUGCAACAUAGCAAUUCAAACAUGUCAAUCAUUCAGACACGCAUAUGUGUGUGCAGUGUGUGUUAAGUGGAUUAUCCCAGUGAGCAUCAGUGUGAGAGUUUAUCCUUUUGUGUGGGGUGUGGGGAAAAGGCAAUAUGUGGGCAUUUAAGUCUGGCCUUUCUAAUGAAAACAAUAUUGUCACAAUAAAGCAGUGUCUUUGCUUUGGUAAGACCAACAAGUAUUCCACUCUGUGGCCCUUUCGUUGCAGUGAUUUGCUUAAAACAACACUGUUUCAAUACUGUCACAGUAUUGCUUUAAGCACCACUGCAAUGAAAGGGCUAGGGUCAUACUAUGUCACAAGAAAUAAAAAUAUGUUUACCAUAAAACAGUCAACAAGUAAAAAACAGUUAUCGUUAAGCUUACACUAGCUGUGUUUGUUCAGUCACAGUGUUC